GCUGUGCUGUCUGCCUCUCCUCUGCUCUCCCAGUCCCAGCUGCAGUGGUUUGCCCAGGGAGUGUGUGGAGCAGGGGAAGGAGUGUUUGGACCUUCUGCAGACAACUGCGGUUGUACUGGCAGAGAGGCCCGAGUCCACAAGGACACGUGGUACUCAUCUUGGACAGGAUGGGAGUCUCUCACACUUGCACCCUACACUCAAAUCGACUCUAAUGUGCAAGAUCAACGUACAAAGCGGAAUGAUGCACUUUCUUUGUGUAGAGGAGAGUUGAGGAAAGUCUACCGUGGCAUGAACACAUUGCCUAUGAGUGUGACUGCUGUGAUAACGCCCAGUGAAAUAUUUGUCUUGUCCUAUCUUGCAGUACCUCCAGAAGCUGCUAUGGGAGAGCAUCUCCUGCCUCAGGCCUCGCUCUGUCACCCACAUGCCCUCUCUACACUCACUGCUUGGCCACUGUGCUCUAAGAGAGUCUGACCGGGAAUCUCCUGAAUGGAGGUGUGGAGCCCAAGCAGGUGUUCUACGUGCUCAACCUUGAUGACAACUUGUAGUUCACCAGCCCAUUGGUUCUGGGGAGCCUGUGGGAUGUGAUUGACCGAGACAUUUACAGCUUCACCAAGGCCCUGCUGGAGUCCUGGCUGUCUGCAGGUCCCGGGGCUCCACUCCUAGACCACAUGGGGCGGCAAGUAGCCUAGUGGUUAGAGCAUUGGACCAGUAACCGAAAGAUUGCUAGAUUGAAUCCCCGACCUGACAAGGCCUCAAGCACCCGUGGUCUACGGACUCCCCUCCCCCCUGCGA
rnacentral:lncRNA from 1 species